GUACGCUAUUCAGAGUUUGAUCCUGGCUCAGGAUGAACGCUAGCUACAGGCUUAACACAUGCAAGUCGAGGGGCAGCAUGAAGUCAGCUUGCUGACUUUGAUGGCGACCGGCGCACGGGUGAGUAACGCGUAUCCAACCUUCCCCUUACUCAGGAAUAGCCCGUUGAAAGACGGAUUAAUGCCUGAUGUUCUCAUUUUCUGGCAUCAUGGAAUGAGCAAAGAUUCAUCGGUAAGGGAUGGGGAUGCGUAUGAUUAGCUUGUUGGCGGGGUAACGGCCCACCAAGGCGACGAUCAUUAGGGGUUCUGAGAGGAAGGUCCCCCACACUGGAACUGAGACACGGUCCAG
rnacentral:rRNA from 1 species